rnacentral:miRNA from 1 species
UGUGACAUCACAAUGCUCCAAUGUGCAAUCCCAAUGCUCCAAUGUGUCAACACAAUGCUACAAUGUGAUGUCACAAUUCUCAGUGUGACAUCACAAUG